UGAGACCUAAUCUGGAGAAAAGUCAUGGU
rnacentral:piRNA from 1 species